GAAAUAGGAGAUCUUAUGUUAUGUUUUGAUCUUUGAUUUAGUAAUUGAAAGUUGAAACACUUGCCUGAUUUGCUACACUAUCUAACACUUUGUGAUUGAUAUUAGAUAGAUGAGAGGUAGGCUUACACUAGAGAAGGUGAAUGCAGCCAUCAAUGACAUGGCAUCCUAUGCUGAAGCAAAUGCUUACACUAGAGAAGUUGAAGCUUUCUGAUGCAUUUAUGGAACUCUUAUCGCAACAACAAUUUCAAUGGAGAGAAUGUUGCAUUUGAGAAGGGGAGAGUGAUGUGAAUGACAACCCUAAUCUCUUGUCGCCGUUCAUCUUCCACCUCUCUCAUACAUCUCUUUGCUGCCGCUUGUUGCACCUCAUCUCCUCGCCAACUUCGCCGCUGCAAACAAUGUCGCUGUUGCUGCCUUGAACGAGUUCUGCAAUUUGGUUGCGCCUUCUCUGUCACUUUCAAUAGGGAUGCAAAUACUGUAUCUGAUGCUGUAGAGCUUGUAAUCCAAAAUUUCACAGAAAUGAACAAACUUUGGGUGCGGAUGCAACAUCAGGUUUAGUAAUGCAUGUGAAUCAUUCAUACUCUUAGCUGACCCUGAGUUGAGGCUUGCUGUCGGGCUUUCUGGUCUGCAGGGGCCUGUCCAGAAGAAGGAGAAACGGGAGAAAGAAAGAGAGAGCUGCGCGAUCUUGUUGGGAAGAAUCUCCAUGUUCUCAGUCAGAUAGAGAGUGUUGAUCUUGAUAUGUACAAAGAUAUUGUGCUUCCCAGAGUAUUAGAGCAGGUUGUAAACAGCAAAGAUGAGUUGGCCCAGUUUUACUUGAUGGAUUGCAUAAUUCAAGUCUUCCCUGAUGAGUAUCACUUGCAAACUCUUGAUGUAUUGUUGGGUUCAUGCCCUCUGCUUCAGAGGUAUAUGCUGCAAGAGAGAAGAACGGAAUCUAUAUACCACGUGAUCGUUAUCUUAGUGAAGAAGCAGAGAAGAAGGUCAUGGCUGAAAAGAUAGAACGCAUGGCACUAGAGGCAGACUCUAAAGAUAAGAAAAAUCUGGAAGAAACUGAGCGGUCAUUAGUUGAUCUUGAGGAAAGACAAAAACAAGCAAAUGCAACAAUAAAGGAAAAUGUUUUUUAGGGUUUUUUAGAUGGUUCGUUAGAUACAAGAGAUGAAGGAUGUGAUGUAGGUUCAUUUCAUUUGCCUUAUAAGCUGAGCUGUAUCCUAGCUUCGAUUAUAUCUGACCAUGUCUUUCUUUGUCCUAUUAGUCUUCUCUAUCUCAGGAACAUUUGUCUAAUUGUCUUUCUAAUUAUUUUUUUCUUUAAUUAAAUAUUUAAAUAUUUGAUCUUCUAUUUUAUAAUUAUUACUAAUUAUUAGCGGCAAGCGUCAAGUAACGUGCUUAUCUUGCAAGCCAGUUUUCUUAAUUCCGAGGAACCAGAAAGUUCGUUGUCUCUUCCUAACUUUGAAGAAUUCAACGUUAACUUUCUUCCUCCUUUUGUGUUGCUUGCUUGUAGUUAUCUUUGUAUGAUUUAGCCGACAAAGUUGGUUGGUGACCUCCUUUUAUUUGGUUUCUUUGUGAUUUUGGAGCUAAUAUCUUCUGAUGAUUGAAAUUUUCAGGCUACUGCUACAAGUAAUAUACAAGCAACUCUGCGUCCAACAAGAAGUGUAGAAGGAGAAAGACGUUAUCUCAACUUCAGGAAGAGGAAAGCUCCCUGCUCCAGGAAAAAAUAUAUUUAACAAAGGUAAUAUUUAUUUACAAGGACAUGAACAAUGAAAAUGUUGGAAUGAUCUGUAGCAAAUUUGUUGAGCAUCUCUAGGAAAAUUCCCAAUGUAAUAGAACUAACAAUAUUUCUUAGUUUGAUACUUUGUAUAGGAGUUAUUAUUUUUUAUUUGUAAUACUAAAAAAUCAUAUAUUAUGUUUAAUACUUUGAGUUAUAUAAUAUUUUGUC